GCCAUCGGCCAUACCAUGCUGAAUGCGCCGGUUCUCGUCCGAUCACCGAAGCUAAGCAGCAUUGGGCUCGGUCAGUACUUCCCUGGGAGACCCACCUGGGAACACCGAGUGCUGAUGGCA
rnacentral:rRNA from 1 species